UCCACAAGAAGACUUCAGAAUUUGGAACAGGGAACAAACAGGGGAAUAUACAGUGAGGAGUGGCUACAGAUGGCUUAAAAAGGAAAUAUCAAAACUAAACACUACGACGACAAAUAUUAUAGAUAUAAAUACAUUCUUCCACAAAGAGCUUUGGCAAACAGAUCUACCAGGAAAAAUAAAAAUUACAAACUGGAGGGUGUACAAUGGCUAUAUUCUUACAAUGGGAAAUCUACAUUACAAACGAAUAUGCAACAAUGCUAUGUGCCCAUGCUAUAGAGAAAUGGCAGAAUCCAUGGAACACACCUUCAGAGAUUGCCAAGCAGUAAAAAAAAAUAUGAUAGGAGUUAGGGUUCCUCGAUUACUAAAGAGAUGGAAGAGAAUGACUUCAAUAGUGGUUAAGCGAAAUACUUACCAAAACGACUAGUGCUCAAAGGAAAGUUAUAUUUUGUAGCAUCUGGGGAAUAUGGAUGCGGAGGAAUAAGAUCCUGCAUGAGAAAAAAACCCUAUCAGCAGAAGACACUGUAAAGUUC
rnacentral:lncRNA from 1 species